ACGAAGGGGGCUAGCGUUGCUCGGAAUCACUGGGCGUAAAGGGUGCGUAGGCGGGUCUUUAAGUCAGAGGUGAAAUCCUGGAGCUCAACUCCAGAACUGCCUUUGAGACUGCAUCGCUAGAAUCAUGGAGAGGUGAGUGGAAUUCCGAGUGUAGAGGUGAAAUUCGUAGAUAUUCGGAAGAACACCAGUGGCGAAGGCGACUCACUGGACAUGUAUUGACGCUGAGGUGCGAAAGCGUGGGGAGCAAACAGGA
rnacentral:rRNA from 1 species